GGUCUUUUGUCCAUUGGGCUGUGGGGACUCACGUUCCUCCUCAGUCAGGGCUGGAGGCCACGAUCAAUCUGUGAGGAGAAGCUUCAUAAGGACUUCCAUGAGCAGGCAGCCUUGUUUUCCAGUCUCAGACAUUG
ensembl:scaRNA